GACGAACGCUGGCGGCGUGCUUAACACAUGCAAGUCGAACGGAAAGGCCCUGCUUUUGUGGGGUGCUCGAGUGGCGAACGGGUGAGUAACACGUGAGUAACCUGCCCUUGACUUUGGAAUAACUUCAGGAAACUGGGGCUAAUACCGGAUAGGAGCUCCUGCUGCAUGGUGGGGGUUGGAAAGUUUCGGCGGUUGGGGAUGGACUCGCGGCUUAUCAGCUUGUUGGUGGGGUAGUGGCUUACCAAGGCUUUGAGGGGUAGCCGGCCUGAGAGGGUGACCGGCCACAUUGGGCCUGAGAUACGGCCCAGCCCCCUCCGGGAGGAAGCAGUGGGGAAUAUUGCACAAUGGGCGGAAGCCUGAUGCAGCAACGCCGCGUGCGGGAUGACGGCCUUCGGGUUGUAACCCGCUUUCGCCUGUGACGAAGCGUGAGUGACGGUAAUGGGUAAAGAAGCACCGGCUAACUACGUG
rnacentral:rRNA from 1 species